rnacentral:rRNA from 1 species
AUGGCCAGACGAAGACUAGUCGUGCGCCCCUUUACCGCCAUCGACACGACGAGGUCAACAGCCAAAGCCAUGGCCACCAAGCGCGUCCGCAACAGCAACAGAAUUGAAGUGCGCCGGGGCACGCGAUGCGGUUCGGUGACGCGUGGUCGUGUAGUUCGCAGCCACCAUGCCCCCCCCUCAUCUCUACCUCCAUGGCCACGUCCUCAACCAGCGGCGCCCUGCCCUCGUCGCUGGCCAUGGCGCCGUAGCCACCAGGCUCGAGCGUCUGCUCUUCUCCCUUGA